GAGUUUGAUCUUGGCUCAGAUUGAACGCUGGCGGCAUGCCUUACACAUGCAAGUCGAACGGCAGCACGGGAGCUUGCUCCUGGUGGCGAGUGGCGAACGGGUGAGUAAUGCAUCGGAACGUAUCCUGGAGUGGGGGAUAACGUAGCGAAAGUUACGCUAAUACCGCAUAUUCUGUGAGCAGGAAAGCGGGGGACCUUCGGGCCUCGCGCUCUUGGAGCGGCCGAUGUCGGAUUAGCUAGUUGGUGAGGUAAAGGCUCACCAAGGCGACGAUCCGUAGCAGGUCUGAGAGGAUGAUCUGCCACACUGGAACUGAGACACGGUCCAGACUCCUACGGGAGGCAGCAGUGGGAAUUUUGGACAAUGGGGCAACCCUGAUCCAGCCAUGCCGCGUGAGUGAAGAAGGCCU
rnacentral:rRNA from 1 species